rnacentral:lncRNA from 1 species
UUGUAAGCGACUCACCCGGAUUUUUUCUCCGCGGCAGAGCUCACUGAACGUCUCCAGGUAUCCUUCGGCGAAGGGAUUUGCAAGGCUGGGCACCUUCGGGAGGAACGUGCUGGACCGC